GAUGAAGAACGCAGCGAAAUGCGAUACGUAAUGUGAAUUGCAGAAUUCAGUGAAUCAUCGAAUCUUUGAACGCAUAUUGCGCUCUCUGGUAUUCCGGAGAGCAUGCUUGUUUGAGUAUCAGUAAACACCUCAACUUCCAUAUCUUUUUUGAAAUGGGAGUUGGACUUGAGUGAUCCCAACGCUUUUCCUCACCGAAAAGUGGCGGGUUACUUGAAAUGCAGGUGCAGCUGGACUUUUCUCUGAGCUAUAAGCAUAUCUAUUUAGUCUGCCUAAAAAACAGAUUAUUACCUUUGCUGCAGCUAACAUAAAGGAGAUUAGUUCUUGUGCUGACUGACGCAGGAUUCACAAAGACAGGCUUCGGCCGACUUUGUAAACUCGAUCUCAAAUCAAGUAAGACUACCCGCUGAACUUAAGCAUAUCAAUAAGCGGAGGA
rnacentral:misc_RNA from 1 species